GAAAUGCGAUAAGUAAUGUGAAUUGCAGAAUUCAGUGAAUCAUCGAAUCUUUGAACGCACCUUGCGCUCCUUGGUGUUCCGAGGAGCAUGCCUGUUUGAGUGUCAUGGAAUUCUCAACUCUAUUUGCUUUUGUGAAUAGAGCUUGGAUUUGGAGGUUUAUUGCUGGUACUUGUGAUCGGCUCCUCUUGAAUGCAUUAGCUCGAACCUUUGCGGAUCAGCUAUCGGUGUGAUAAUUGUCUACGCCGUUGCAGUGAAGCAUAUCAAUGGGCUCGGCUUCCAAUCGUCCUUUACUGGACAAUGACUUUGACCUUUGACCUCAAAUCAGGUAGGAUUACCCGCUGAACUUAAGC
rnacentral:misc_RNA from 1 species